rnacentral:rRNA from 1 species
UACAGAGGGUGCAAGCGUUGUUCGGAAUUAUUGGGCGUAAAGGGCGCGUAGGCGGUGCGGUAAGUCCGCAGUGAAAUCUCUGGGCUCAACUCAGAGUCUGCUGUGGAAACUGCCGUGCUUGAGUGUGGGAGAGGUGAGUGGAAUUCUGUGUGGAGCGGUGAAAUGCGUUGAUCUACAGAGGAACACCAAAAAAGGCGAAGGCAGUCAACUAUUCUGUUCCUGACAUUGAGGCAUGAAAGCGUGGGGAGCAAACCGG